CUCCAUUGUUCUCAAACUUAAAGUGUCUCAGGUUCUUCUACAGCAGGCUGAGCAGAGUCUGGAUAAUGUAGAGGCGGCCCAAUUGGACGCCCCUUGCUUUGAUGAGGUGGAUGCUGUGAUGAAGAGGGCGCACAUGGAAAAAGAGUGCAGGGAUGGUGUUGGGAAGGCUGUGGGACCACCGUUUAAAAAUUAUAUUCCCAACUGGACCAUUAAUGGAGAUGAGGAGGUCAGUCAGUACAGCUCAGCUCAAGAUGAGAGCUUCGACAGCACAUCCCUUCCUAGUAGUGUAAAGGAGGAGAACAGGGACUUGAAGAGAGUUCAAACAACAAAAAGAGGACAGCAACAGACAGGACAUCAAAAAUCUGAGAGGUACAACAGUAUAAGAGCAUUAGCAGAAAAAGACUGAUAUAAGUCAA
rnacentral:lncRNA from 1 species